AAAAUCUGCUACCAGGUAAUAGUAUAGCUAUUAAAAUAAUGGUACUUAUCAAUAUAAUUUUCCUUUCUAUGUAAUGGAGUAGAUAACAAGUCCAAUGCAGCUCCCAUCUGAGCCAGAUGGAGUGAUUUGCAUUAAAAAAAUUAAUUUAAUGUUCACAUCAUCACUUGAAAAAAGAUUUUACACCUCAUAAUUGUACUGAGACAUCAAACAUAGAACAUAAAAUUGCAAUUCCAAAGAAUUAGCCAUAAUCUCAACUUUGGCAAAAGCAGGUAUGCUUGUCAGUUGUCACUAACCCAAACUGUUUGCUAUUACAAACAUGAGUAAACUUGUGGCCAUUACUCCAAAUUCAAGCUACAACACAAUUUUGAAACUUUAUAUCUGAAUCCAAAUGACCAAAUAUUACAAUAAGUCUGAAAACAGAGCAUCUAAAACUAUUCAUAAGCACUUAAAAGUUACAUGCUUGUUUUAUCCAAAGGAACAAAUGCAAUGUAUAUGAAUGUGACAUGAAAAAAUAAUAAUGCAUAUCAAGUUCACUUUUCCUGAGCAACUGAAUUCAAAAUUUUCAAUAUUUAUAUUCCAACAAAAUGAAUUUUAUACAAAAUAUUUAAAUUAUCAUGUUUAAAUCUUCUUUGCAAGCCAUACAAACCAGUUUCAUAGGUUUCUUUUGAAAAUUUUAUAGGUUCCUUUAUCACAUAUUUUACAAUAAUACUACAUGUGUUUUUGUGAAAAAGGUCAUCAACUCAUAAUGUUCUUACAAAGAGAAAGAGGGCCAAGGUCUGAUAGAAUGAACAAUUAGCGGUGUUGCAAUAAUGGCAACUUUAUAACUGCAAUAAAAGGAAAAGUAACAGGCUUCAAAAGGUUAACUAUAGUACCAGUACUCUAAGUUACUCCCAAAGGUCACGGGUUCAGCAUUUGUUCAUGUUAGGGGGUCUAUUUUUUUUUCAUUUCAAAUGGAGUAGAACAGUGAUUUAAUCAGACUGGAACGACCAGUGAUCCAGGUCAUGGUUAACCCAGUCCGACCGGCUGGUCAGGUCCGAUUUUGAAAACUAUGAGAAUGACACUCAUGCCUCGUAGCAUAUGUUAAGAAUGUAUAACAGGAAGUAAAAAGUCAACUCAACUCAACUAAGCGUUU
rnacentral:misc_RNA from 1 species